rnacentral:rRNA from 1 species
CACGUAGGGCGCAAGCGUUGUCCGGAAUUAUUGGGCGUAAAGAGCUCGUAGGCGGUCUGUUGCGUCUGCUGUGAAAACUCGGGGCUUAACCCCGGGCCUGCAGUGGGUACGGGCAGACUAGAGUGCGGUAGGGGAGACUGGAAUUCCUGGUGUAGCGGUGAAAUGCGCAGAUAUCAGGAGGAACACCGGUGGCGAAGGCGGGUCUCUGGGCCGUAACUGGACGCUGAGGAGCGAAAGCGUGGGGAGCGAACAGG